rnacentral:rRNA from 1 species
AAAUCCGGUUCACUUUAACACUGAGGCGUGAUGACGAGGCACUACGGUGCUGAAGCAACAAAUGCCCUGCUUCCAGGAAAAGCCUCUAAGCAUCAGGUAACAUCAAAUCGUACCCCAAACCGACACAGGUGGUCAGGUAGAGAAUACCAAGGCGCUUGAGAGAACUCGGGUGAAGGAACUAGGCAAAAUGGUGCCGUAACUUCGGGAGAAGGCACGCUGACACGUAGGUGAAGUGAUUUACUCAUGGAGCUGAAGUCAGUCGAAGAUACCAGCUGGCUGCAACUGUUUAUUAAAAACACAGCACUGUGCAAACACGAAAGUGGACGUAUACGGUGUGACGCCUGCCCGGUGCCGGAAGGUUAAUUGAUGGGGUCAGCGUAAGCGAAGCUCCUGAUCGAAGCCCCGGUAAACGGCGGCCGUAACUAUAACGGUCCUAAGGUAGCGAAAUUCCUUGUCGGGUAAGUUCCGACCUGCACGAAUGGCGUAAUGAUGGCCAGGCUGUCUCCACCCGAGACUCAGUGAAAUUGAACUCGCUGUGAAGAUGCAGUGUACCCGCGGCAAGACGGAAAGACCCCGUGAACCUUUACUAUAGCUUGACACUGAACAUUGAGCCUUGAUGUGUAGGAUAGGUGGGAGGCUUUGAAGUGUGGACGCCAGUCUGCAUGGAGCCGACCUUGAAAUACCACCCUUUAAUGUUUGAUGUUCUAACGUGGACCCGUAAUCCGGGUUGCGGACAGUGUCUGGUGGGUAGUUUGACUGGGGCGGUCUCCUCCUAAAGAGUAACGGAGGAGCACGAAGGUUGGCUAAUCCUGGUCGGACAUCAGGAGGUUAGUGCAAUGGCAUAAGCCAGCUUGACUGCGAGCGUGACGGCGCGAGCAGGUGCGAAAGCAGGUCAUAGUGAUCCGGUGGUUCUGAAUGGAAGGGCCAUCGCUCAACGGAUAAAAGGUACUCCGGGGAUAACAGGCUGAUACCGCCCAAGAGUUCAUAUCGACGGCGGUGUUUGGCACCUCGAUGUCGGCUCAUCACAUCCUGGGGCUGAAGUAGGUCCCAAGGGUAUGGCUGUUCGCCAUUUAAAGUGGUACGCGAGCUGGGUUUAGAACGUCGUGAGACAGUUCGGUCCCUAUCUGCCGUGGGCGCUGGAGAACUGAGGGGGGCUGCUCCUAGUACGAGAGGACCGGAGUGGACGCAUCACUGGUGUUCGGGUUGUCAUGCCAAUGGCACUGCCCGGUAGCUAAAUGCGGAAGAGAUAAGUGCUGAAAGCAUCUAAGCACGAAACUUGCCCCGAGAUGAGUUCUCCCUGAGACUUAGAGUCUCCUGAAGGAACGUUGAAGACGACGACGUUGAUAGGCCGGGUGUGUAAGCGCAGCGAUGCGUUGAGCUAACCGGUACUAAUGAACCGUGAGGCUUAACCUUACA